rnacentral:lncRNA from 1 species
GGACGCUCCUACCCUGGCUUCCGACCCAGCGGAGAUCACUUAUGUAAUUCUGUGCUGCAGGCCCGGCGGCGGGAGGCGAGGCCAGCGCAAGGCCCGUCGUCUGGGUCCUGGCCGUGGGGUCAGGGUCCCCGCGGCUUGUCCCUGAGGGUCUCUGCUGCUCCGGUGUCGGGGAGCAGCGUGCAGGAGCCUGGGGGUCCGCCUGGCCCCUGGCCCCUGCAGGGCCGUCGGCUGGGGUGGGAGCCCAAGUCUCGCGGGAAGGGAGCGGUCGCCCGGGCCUGGCGGCAGCCCUGCAGGAAGGAUGGGCCUGCGGCUGGCCGCUGGGAGUCUGCUGGAGGCCUGUGGCCGCCCCUGUGCGUGCACCACGCUGCCCCCCGGCUGGCACGGCCGCCCCCCGCCCGCUGCCCUGUGAGCGGGGCUCCUGCCAGCGGAGCUCCCAGCCGCCAGCAAGACCGGUCAUGUGGUCGGAGCUUGUGACAGUGGCCCGUGAUCAGAUGGCAAGGACUGGCCUUUAGUCCUCAGUGGUGGUCACCAGAGCGUUCUUCAGGGCCUGAGGCUCAGCUCCUGCCACCAUGUCGGGAUCCACGCAGCCCGUGGCACAGACAUGGAGGGCCACCGAGGCCCGCUACCCGCCCCAUGGCAUCUCCUACCCGGUGCAGAUCGCCCGGCCCCACACGGUAAGGGGUGGCGCCCUUUGGGUCUCUUGCUCCUACUCCUUUCCUCCCCUG